UUCGCAAUGCCCGAAAGGGUGACGAUGCGACGCCGCGUGAGCGAAGAAGGCCCUAGGGUUGUAAAGCUCUGUCGAGGGUUAUGAAAUAUAGAUGGGUUAAUACCCCAUUUAUUUGACAAAAGCCCAAAAGGAAGCCACGGCUAACUCUGUGCCAGCAGCCGCGGUAAUACAGAGGUGGCGAGCGUUGUUCGGUAUUAUUGGGCGUAAAGAGCACGUAGGUGGUUUUGUAAGUCAGGUGUGAAGGCCUUCUGUUCAAAGGAAGAACGGCAUCUGAAACUGCAGAUCUUGAGUGUAGGAGGGGAGAGUGGAACUUCUGGUGGAGCGGUGAAAUGCGUAGAUAUCAGAAGGAACGUCGGCGGCGAAAGCGACUCUCUGGCCUAUUACUGACACUGAGGUGCGAAAGUUAGGGGAGCAAACGGGAUUAGAUACCCCGGUAGUCCUAACCGUAAACGAUGGGCACUAAGUAGAGGGGUUUU
rnacentral:rRNA from 1 species